rnacentral:lncRNA from 10 species
UUUAUUUUGCUGCAGGGGUUCUUGCUUACCUUGGAAGCCCUAAGAAGCUCUGAUGAGCUGGAAAUGAACAGCCAAUUCCACUGUGCUCAUUGAGCACCUGCUGCUGCUGGAGAGGGCACCAGGCAUGUCCAAAACUCUCCUCUCAUUUAAACCUCAUCUUAUAAAACAUCCUGGAGGUGGAGAUCUUUCUUCCUUUAAGUACAUUAAGGCUUGAAGAAGUUAUGAAACUUGCCCAAGGUCACACAGUUAAUCAACAGCAGCAUCAGGAAUCAAAUCCAGAUUUGUCCAUCUCCUAAGACUGAACUGGAACUCUUUUUAUUGCAAAAAACUCAAAUCCUUUUUGAAAAAAGAAUAAGGUCCAGGCCCCAGAGGAAUAGAGUUAUUGAAAAUUCACAAUGUGCUGGAUUUAUAUGCAUUGUUAUCACAUUUAUAUGCAUUGUUUCAUUUUAUGUUUAAAACAAUCCUACUCCUGCCAGGCUUUUUCACUGCCAAGUUAGAGAUAAAGUAGCAGAGUCUAGAAGUGUCUAAAAGAGGUCAAGUAUCUUGCAUGAGGUUGCACCAGCUGAAAGUUCUGGAGUCAGGAGACGUGGACUAAAGUCCUGAUACGUGCCUGUUGUACCAACACAAUUAUCAGUAGUGCUUUUUUUCACUGUCCAAAGGGUUCUGGUUGAGAUGAUGAACUAUAUAGUCACCCUAACUACCAUUCUAGUUCCUGCCACCUGGAUGCCUUCUGAUGCCUGAAUCUCCAACAUCUCCUUCAAUUACUUCAAUUACUCCUACCUUUCCAGAGCCUUCUUAGACUGAAAGCAAGGAAGCUCAGAAGUGUGGAAAAUUACAACCAAUCCAAGAAACCAUGUGGAAGAUUGACCAGAGGGGCAAUGCUAAAGGCAGAAUGGUUAUUGAAAUGGCCUGGAGAAGCACUAUUGAGGAACUGAAAUGGGAAAGGAACAGUCGGAAUAGAAGAGAAGAGGUGCUCACCUCACCACUCUGAUUGCAAGAAUGAGUCUGUGACUGAGACCCGGCCCAUCAGAGUAAAGCAUCCGCUGGUAACACAAGUAAUUUAGGAAUGUCCACAUAACCCAAACCACACAAACUGGAAGCCCUCUCUAAGCAUUUUCUGCUGGAACUAAGAACAAAGAGUUUUUUUAACUCUUGCAUGUAGUAAAUUAUAAGAAUAUGACUCAACAUGAUAGCACAUUUACUGUCACAUGGAUAAACACAUGAGAAUAAAGAUGAUUUUGAGAGAAAAGUGGUGAUGAGAAGUAGACAGAAAGAUAUCUAGCAACAUCAAGUCAUUUAUUCCUGUCUCAGAUAUAACUGGAUUUCUCUAGUUAAUAUGUAUAAUGUAAGAGAGUUUUUGUUUAUUUGUUUGUUUGCUUAAGUUAGAUCAGGUUGAGAUUUUGACACUCCAAACUCAAAGAACCCUGACUAGCAAUUGGAAUUGAUACCAGAAGUGGGGACAACAAUUUUGAAAACCAAAAUGUGGGACUGGGUUUUGUCAAGAUGAGAUAGGGGAAUCCUCAUUAAUCACUCUCCACUCCCCUGAUCAUCUUCAGCUAGGAAAUAUCUUGUUGAAAAGUAGAACAGCAUUGGGUUACGGGUUUCUUGUGGUAUCUUGAAACUUCAACCAUGUGCCCAACAAAACCAGAAUAUCAGUGACUUAGUAGAAAAAUGUGAUGAUAUUGGACUGUAGGCUCUGUUCUGCAUUCUUCAGUAAAUUUCUACAACAAAAAGACAAAUUGAUUUACCUGAAAUCACAGAGAAAUCUGUAUGCACCUCUACAUAAAAAAUUCUUUCUACACAGCCUCAGCAAUGCUAAACUGGAAAGGUUAAGGCAGGAAAGUCCUCUGUAGAAUUGGAAAACUAAUUGUUUUACCCCGUCAUAAAGUUAGUAUAAGCAAAAACAGGGCAGUGAGAAAAGUGAAAGAAGAUUAGAUUCUUCCCUGCCUACCCAAGGUAAUCAUUCCCUAUGGCCUAAGCAACUUGGAUGCAGUGGUGGGCAGGAAAGGGAAUUAGCUUUAACUUAUCAUCCUAUCCUUUCUUUCACUUUACUCUGAGGUAGGAGUCAAGACAGAAGCCAUUAAUCUGAUGGUCAAAAUGUCAGGCCUAUUGAUAAGCAAUCAAAGGGGUAUGGUACUUAUUUAAAGAUAAUGACCAGACAUAUAUUCUUGCAUCAGACUUCCAGACUAGUAUUUUAAAGAAUACUUAAGGCUAGAUAAACACCAAGUAUCAAAAAAAGAGGUUUGGAUGGCACAUUCCCUAAGACUGUCCUCAGGCUCAUUCAAGGAUAUUCAGCAAAGAUUCAACCAUAGAAUGGGAUUUCUUCUCACUGUACAACACCUUUUAUGAAUGGCCCAGGAUGAUGCCAGGGUCAGCCUGUAUGUGUAUUUGGAACUUUUCUGCUACAACCAUUGAGGGAUGGUCUCCUCUGUUCUCAAGAGUCUUGCAGCUUCAAACAUAAAUCCUUAAACCAUUCGGUGGCCAGUGUACCUGUUUGAGGAAGACGAAAUCAAGGGGGAAGAGAAAAG